UGGGGAAUUUUGGACAAUGGGCGCAAGCCUGAUUCAGCCAUGCCGCGUGCGGGAAGAAGGCCUUCGGGUUGUAAACCGCUUUUGUCAGGGAAGAAAUCUUCUGAGUUAAUACCUCGGGAGGAUGACGGUACCUGAAGAAUAAGCACCGGCUAACUACGUGCCAGCAGCCGCGGUAAUACGUAGGGUGCAAGCGUUAAUCGGAAUUACUGGGCGUAAAGCGUACGCAGGCGGUUUUGUAAGACAGAGGUGAAAUCCCCGGGCUCAACCUGGGAACUGCCUUUGUGACUGCAAGGCUUGAGUGCGGCAGAGGGGGAUGGAAUUCCGCGUGUAGCAGUGAAAUGCGUAGAUAUGCGGAGGAACACCGAUGGCGAAGGCAAUCCCCUGGGCCUGCACUGACGCUCAUGCACGAAAGCGUGGGGAGCAAACAGGAUUAGAUACCCUGGUAGUCCACGCCCUAAACGAUGUCAACUGGUUGUUGGGAAGGUUCCUUCUCAGUAACGUAGCUAACGCGUGAAGUUGACCGCCUGGGGAGUACGGCCGCAAGGUUGAAA
rnacentral:rRNA from 1 species